rnacentral:rRNA from 1 species
CUUGAAACACGGACCAAGGAGUUUAUCGUGUACGCAAGUCAUUGGGUGAAUAAAACCCAAAGGCGAAAUGAAAGUAAAAAGUUGAGCUAUAAUAAAGAAAGAAGGAAAGCAAUUUCUUUUUAUUAUUUUUUAUACUCACUUUAAGGGAAGAUAGAAAUUUAUCAAUAUCUAUAAUAAUUAUUAUUAUAAUAUGAUAAUAUUUCUCGCACUCCCGGGGCGCUUGUUUCACGCAUUGCGUGUCAAUGCGCACCUAGAGCGUACACGCUGAUACCCGAAAGAUGGUGAACUAUGCCUGGCCAGGACGAAGCCAGGGGAAACCCUGGUGGAGGUCCGCAGCGAUUCUGACGUGCAAAUCGAUCGUCGGAGCUGGGUAUAGGGGCGAAAGACCAAUCGAACCAUCUAGUAGCUGGUUCCCUCUGAAGUUUCCCUCAGGAUA